rnacentral:snRNA from 1 species
UAAUUGGAAUGAUACAGAGAUUGGCAUGGCCCCAGUGCAAAGAUGACCUGCAAAUUUGCGAAGUGUUCCAUAUUUAA